AUUGAACGCUGGCGGCAUGCCUUACACAUGCAAGUCGAACGGUAACAGGUCUUCGGAUGCUGACGAGUGGCGAACGGGUGAGUAAUACAUCGGAACGUGCCCGAUCGUGGGGGAUAACGGAGCGAAAGCUUUGCUAAUACCGCAUAAGAUCUAUGGAUGAAAGCAGGGGACCGCAAGGCCUUGCGCGAACGGAGCGGCCGAUGGCAGAUUAGGUAGUUGGUGGGAUAAAAGCUUACCAAGCCGUCGAUCUGUAGCUGGUCUGAGAGGACGACCAGCCACACUGGGACUGAGACACGGCCCAGACUCCUACGGGAGGCAGCAGUGGGGAAUUUUGGACAAUGGGCGCAAGCCUGAUCCAGCCAUGCCGCGUGCAGGAUGAAGGCCUUCGGGUUGUAAACUGCUUUUGUACGGAACGAAAAGACUCUUUCUAAUAAAGAGGGUCCAUGACGGUACCGUAAGAAUAAGCACCGGCUAACUACGUGCCAGCCGCCGCCGUAAGAC
rnacentral:rRNA from 1 species